rnacentral:misc_RNA from 1 species
UUGCUCAACGGUUCUGUUUGUUUGAUCAAUACGUGUAGCCAGGUCAACACAUACAGGUUGUGUUUGUUGCUACGUAAAGAAUGUCAUCUAGGCACGAGGACUACUAUCUCUAAUCAUUGGAGCUUUGUUUGGCAAGGUCAACCAUACCUAAGGGCUGAAGAAGAAAUUCAGCUUUCUCAACCACCAAAUUUGGAAGACAAGACCGUUGAAAAGCUGCUCAACAUAGAUCCGGAUAUGUUUCCCGCAGAAGGCUAUAGAUGUAUUGUUACUAUAUCACGCAUCGUGCAAAAUAGCAGAUGGUGGUACCCAUCUUGCUCCAGGUGCCACAAAUCUUCAUCUCAAAUCUCAACUGGAUAUCACUGCACAUCAUGUGGCUGCACAAAUAUUAAGUUUAGAUACAAGCUCAGCUUCAUUGCUACUGAUGGAACAUGCGAAGCAGAGUUCUUUUUUUUGAUAGCAUAGCCAGAAAAAUAGUAGGAGAACCUUAGGGCAACCUUGUUACAGCAGUUACAACUUCUGAGAGUCCCAGCAGCCCUAGCCGCUAUUGUGUGUCUGAAAUUUACUCUUGCAGUUGCCAUCAAUAUGUCAGCCUACUAUGUCAUGAACAGAGUAUUCUCUAUUCUAUCUAUUUUAACAAAUCAUGGAAGACAGACCUUCAUACCAUCUAACAUGCCUAGCCAUCCUCAACAAGAGUUGUAUACACAAGAUGAAGUACCUAGCCUUCCGGUCGGCCACACAAGACUCUCCAGCAACAUCAAUGGCAAAACUAUCUACCUGUAGCAACGAAAGAAACGAGGGUGAUGACAGCGCAUAAGUGAACUCAACAAGCAAGAGAUAUCGUCACCACCAAAAUGGAUAAAACAUAGCCACACUAGCAAAGGCAUACCAGAUCUUACAAACCCCAAAAAGAAAAGCUCCUAAAUCGUCAUCAACUUCGUGAAGGUGUUUGCUUUUUGCGCACCUAUCAGGAGCACCAUCACUUUUGGAUCAUGAAUGCUUUCCUAUAGAUAUGAACCUACUGUUAUACUAUUUGUGGAUAUGUACAUAUUGACUUAACACCUGCAAGCACAUUGUUGCUAAGUGUUGAUGUAUGGUAGUUGAAUGCUACUUAGUAUGUAUUGUAGUCUAAAUCCACUCUACAGCUGGUAUCAACUAUUAUAUAAAAACAACGUCAUAUGCUUAUAUUUGGUUUCCUCCUUACGCAUU